rnacentral:rRNA from 1 species
AACGAACGCUGGCGGCAUGCCUAACACAUGCAAGUCGAACGAGACCUUCGGGUCUAGUGGCGCACGGGUGCGUAACGCGUGGGAAUCUGCCCUUGGGUCCGGAACAACAGUUAGAAAUGACUGCUAAUACCGGAUGAUGACUUCGGUCCAAAGAUUUAUCGCCCAGGGAUGAGCCCGCGUCGGAUUAGCUAGUUGGUGAGGUAAAGGCUCACCAAGGCGACGAUCCGUAGCUGGUCUGAGAGGAUGAUCAGCCACAUUGGGACUGAGACACGGCCCAGACUCCUACGGGAGGCAGCAGUGGGGAAUAUUGGACAAUGGGCGAAAGCCUGAUCCAGCAAUGCCGCGUGAGUGAUGAAGGCCUUAGGGUUGUAAAGCUCUUUUACCCGGGAUGAUAAUGACAGUGCCGGGAGAAUAAGCCCCGGCUAACUCCGUGCCAGCCGCCGCGGUAA